ACAGGUGAGGUCCUCGGGAACA
rnacentral:miRNA from 1 species